rfam:Rattus norvegicus chromosome 1, whole genome shotgun sequence.
GGGGAUUUAGCUCAGUGGUAGAGCGCUUGCCUAGGAAGCGCAAGGCCCUGGGUUCAGACCCCAGCUCCG